CAGUGAGCCGAGAUCGCAGCACUGCACUCCAGCCUGGGGAACAGAGCAAGACUCUGCCUCAAAAAAAAAGAAAGAAAAGAAAAAGCUUCCACUUUCGAAGAUCCCCCAGUCAUUCCGGUGGAUGAGCAGAUAUGAACACAGAGUCAUGGUCCUGACCAGAAAAUAACAUCUAAGUGUACAACAGAAGAAAGAAAACUAGAGGUCCCACAACUAUUUCUCAGCAAGCUGUCACUGACUGAUAAACUGGUGAUAGAAGUCAGCCCUUCCAUAGCAUAACAUUAUAACUGAAAGUAUCUUAGAGGUCCCAUAAAAAGCAGGAACUACAGAACUACUUGGACAAAAUGUAUGUCAAAAUCAUCCACCAAUAAAACCUGAUGUAUU